rnacentral:misc_RNA from 1 species
UCUCCGUAGGUGAACCUGCGGAGGGAUCAUUACAGAGUUCAUGCCCUAACGGAUAGAUCUCCCACCCUAUGUUAUCAUCACUCUGUUGCUUUGGCGGGCCGUCAGGCCUCGGCUUGGCUACCGGCUCUCGCUGGUAAGCGCCCGCCAGAGAACCCCAAACCCUGAAUAUCAGUGUCGUCUGAGUACUAUAUAAUAGUUAAAACUUUCAACAACGGAUCUCUUGGUUCUG